rnacentral:rRNA from 1 species
GACGAGGGGUCCUAGCGUUGUUCGGAAUUACUGGGCGUAAAGCGCGCGUAGGCGGCUUUGUAAGUUAGAGGUGAAAGCCCGGGGCUCAACCCCGGAAUUGCCUUUAAGACUGCAUCGCUUGAAUCCGGGAGAGGUGAGUGGAAUUCCGAGUGUAGAGGUGAAAUUCGUAGAUAUUCGGAAGAACACCAGUGGCGAAGGCGGCUCACUGGACCGGCAUUGACGCUGAGGUGCGAAAGCGUGGGGAGCAAACAGG